rnacentral:rRNA from 1 species
AGAGUUUGAUCAUGGCUCAGAUUGAACGCUGGCGGCAUGCUUUACACAUGCAAGUCGAACGGCAGCGCGGGGGCAACCCUGGCGGCGAGUGGCGAACGGGUGAGUAAUGCAUCGGAACGUACCCUGAAGUGGGGGAUAACGUAGCGAAAGUUACGCUAAUACCGCAUAUUCUGUGAGCAGGAAAGAGGGGGAUCGCAAGACCUCUUGCUUUAGGAGCGGCCGAUGUCGGAUUAGCUAGUUGGUGAGGUAAAGGCUCACCAAGGCGACGAUCCGUAGCGGGUCUGAGAGGAUGAUCCGCCACACUGGGACUGAGACACGGCCCAGACUCCUACGGGAGGCAGCAGUGGGGAAUUUUGGACAAUGGGCGCAAGCCUGAUCCAGCCAUGCCGCGUGAGUGAAGAAGGCCUUCGGGUUGUAAAGCUCUUUCGGUGGGGAAGAAAUGGCACGGGUUAAUACCCUGUGUUGAUGACGGUACCCGCAUAAGAAGCACCGGCUAACUACGUG